GACAGAGAAUGCAAGCGUUAUCCGGAAUGAUUGGGCGUAAAGCGUCUGUAGGUGGCUUUUCAUGUCUGCCGUCAAAUCCCAGGGCUCAACCCUGGACAGGCGGUGGAAACUACCAAGAUGGAGUACGGUAGGAGCAGAGGGAAUUUCCGGUGGAGCGGUGAAAUGCAUUGAGAUCAGAAAGAACACCAACGGCGAAAGCACUCUGCUGGGCCGACACUGACACUGAGAGACGAAAGCUAGGGGAGCAGAUGGG
rnacentral:rRNA from 1 species